rnacentral:snoRNA from 10 species
GUUCCCAGUGAUGGUUUAAAUUAACCAUGCUAAUACUGAUGUCCAUUGACGAGUAAAAGUGUUUUACUGAGGGAACC